CCUACGGGAGGCAGCAGUAGGGAAUAUUGGGCAAUGGAGGCAACUCUGACCCAGCCAUGCCGCGUGCAGGAAGAAGGCGUUAUGCGUUGUAAACUGCUUUUAUAUAGGAAGAAAUAGACCUUGCGAGGUAAGUUGACGGUACUAUAUGAAUAAGCACCGGCUAACUCCGUGCCAGCAGCCGCGGUAAUACGGAGGGUGCAAGCGUUGUCCGGAUUUAUUGGGUUUAAAGGGUGCGUAGGCGGUUUAUUAAGUCAGUGGUGAAAGACGGUCGCUCAACGAUUGCAGUGCCAUUGAUACUGGUAGACUUGAGUGGGAUUGAGGUAGCUGGAAUGGAUAGUGUAGCGGUGAAAUGCAUAGAUAUUAUCCAGAACACCAAUUGCGUAGGCAAGUUACUAAGUCUCAACUGACGCUGAGGCACGAAAGUGUGGGUAUCAAACAGGAUUAGAUACCCUGGUAGUCCACACUGUAAACGAUGAUAACUAACUGUUGGCCUUUGGGUCAGUGGUACAGAGAAANCGUUAAGUAUCCACCUGGGGAGUGCCGGCAACGUGAACUUAAAGGAUUGACCGGNGNGAGAGNGCGAGACGACGAGAGGAGAGG
rnacentral:rRNA from 1 species